rnacentral:rRNA from 1 species
UGGGGAAUUUUGGACAAUGGGGGCAACCCUGAUCCAGCAAUGCCGCGUGUGUGAAGAAGGCCUUCGGGUUGUAAAGCACUUUUGUCCGGAAAGAAAACGCCGUGGUUAAUACCCGUGGCGGAUGACGGUACCGGAAGAAUAAGCACCGGCUAACUACGUGCCAGCAGCCGCGGUAAUACGUAGGGUGCAAGCGUUAAUCGGAAUUACUGGGCGUAAAGCGUGCGCAGGCGGUCCGCUAAGACAGAUGUGAAAUCCCCGGGCUUAACCUGGGAACUGCAUUUGUGACUGGCGGGCUAGAGUAUGGCAGAGGGGGGUAGAAUUCCACGUGUAGCAGUGAAAUGCGUAGAGAUGUGGAGGAAUACCGAUGGCGAAGGCAGCCCCUGGGCCAAUACUGACGCUCAUGCACGAAAGCGUGGGGGAGCAAACAGGAUUCAGAUACCCUGGUAGUCCACGCCCUAAACGAUGUCAACUAGUUGUCGGGUCUUCAUUGACUUGGUAACGUAGCUAACGCGUGAAGUUGACCGCCUGGGGAGUACGGUCGCAAGAUUAAAACUUAAAUGAAUU